CCUACGGGUGGCAGCAGUGAGGAAUAUUGGUCAAUGGGCGGAAGCCUGAACCAGCCAAGUCGCGUGAGGGAAUAAGGCCCUACGGGUUGUAAACCUCUUUUGCCGGGGAGCAAGGGCGGGGACGUGUCGCGGCCAGGAGAGUACCCGGAGAAAAAGCAUCGGCUAACUCCGUGCCAGCAGCCGCGGUAAUACGGAGGAUGCGAGCGUUAUCCGGAUUUAUUGGGUUUAAAGGGUGCGUAGGCGGGCUUUUAAGUCAGCGGUAAAAAUUCGGGGCUCAACCCCGUCCGGCCGUUGAAACUGGGGGCCUUGAGUGGGCGAGAAGAAUGCGGAAUGCGUGGUGUAGCGGUGAAAUGCAUAGAUAUCACGCAGAACCCCGAUUGCGAAGGCAGCCUUCCGGCGCCCUACUGACGCUGAGGCACGAAAGUGCGGGGAUCGAACAGGAUUAGAUACCCGAGUAGUC
rnacentral:rRNA from 1 species